UCCCUGGUGGUCCAAUGGUUAAGACUCUGUACUUCCCAUGCAGAAGGUGCAGGUUCGAUCCCUGGUCAGGGAA
rnacentral:tRNA from 1 species